GCAAGUCAAUGGUUCUUGGUGUCAGACUGAAAGAAUCACAUCUCGCUCUCUUCCCACCAAUUCUCCAUUUCAGCUUGUGUAUCAAAGUCGUUACUGGUUAUUCAAUAAAAAUGGCAUUGGAUACUGGAGAGCUGUUGCAUACGUUGAGCUGAGGAGCCGGUCCGACACCAACAAAUCCAACUCAUCACCACAGACCACCAUCUUUCCAGUCCUAAGAGUUCCUGUAAACUGUAAUAGAAAUAUUAACCUGUUGGCCUUUGACCCCGAUGGAGACGAGGUUAAAUGCAGAUAUGCUGAUUUAUCCUUGACUGAAUGUGACUCACCCUGCACACCUCCACCUGUUCUCAGCC